UACGUAGGGGAGCAAGCGUUGUCCGGAAUCAUUGGGCGUAAAGCGCGCGUAGGUGGCCCGGUCAGUUCGUGGUGAAAGCGCGGGGCUCAACCCUGCGUCGGCCAUGAAUACUGCCGCGGCUGGAGCACUGUAGAGGCAGGCGGAAUUCCGGGUGUAGCGGUGGAAUGCGUAGAGAUCCGGAAGAACACCGGUGGGCGAAGGCGGCCUGCU
rnacentral:rRNA from 1 species